UGAAGUAGAGGACAGUGGCGGACGGGUGAGUAACGCGUGAGGAACCUGCCUUUCAGAGGGGGACAACAGUUGGAAACGACUGCUAAUACCGCAUAAGCGCACAGCAUCGCAUGAUGCAGUGUGAAAAACUCCGGUGGUAUAAGAUGGACCUGCGGUGCAUUAGCUAGUUGGUGAGAUAACAGCCCACCAAGGCGACGAUCAGUAGCCGGACUGAGAGGUUGACCGGCCACAUUGGGACUGAGAUACGGCCCAGACUCC
rnacentral:rRNA from 1 species